rnacentral:rRNA from 1 species
UGCAAGUCGAACGAGAGAGAGGAAGCUUGCUUCCUCAAUCGAGUGGCGAACGGGUGAGUAACGCGUGAGGAACCUGCCUCAAAGAGGGGGACAACAGUUGGAAACGACUGCUAAUACCGCAUAAGCCCACGGGUCGGCAUCGACCAGGGGGAAAAGGAGCAAUCCGCUUUGAGAUGGCCUCGCGUCCGAUUAGCUGGUUGGUGAGGUAAUGGCCCACCAAGGCGACGAUCGGUAGCCGGACUGAGAGGUUGAACGGCCACAUUGGGACUGAGACACGGCCCAGACUCCUACGGGAGGCAGCAGUGGGGAAUAUUGCACAAUGGGGGAAACCCUGAUGCAGCGACGCCGCGUGGAGGAAGAAGGUCUUCGGAUUGUAAACUCC